rnacentral:lncRNA from 1 species
CCAGUCGUCGGCUUCCCAUAAUGUUGAAUAAACUCCCAUGGGUUGGAAUUUGGGGAAUGGGAUUCCUUUUGCUUCGUUGUUCUUGUACACUCUAAUUGGUACUGCGUCUACGUAGAAUCUUCAAUAGUACAAACAGUUAAGUAUUAUUUAUUGUGAUUUUUAAUUAAAAGAUCGAUGGAAGAAUAAUUGUUAAGUAGUACUAUAUGUCUGCUUACACAGUGUGAUGGUGGUUCCAAAGUAUGGUGUAGGUAUGAAAAUCAGCGGAUGGAUCGAACCAAAGGUUGAUCCUUUGUUCCUUGUCACCCUUUCCAUGGACAUAAACAUUCGUUUGGACAGUGUACGGCUGGCCUGACCUGUUUCCCAAGAACUCGAAGUCUAGCUCGUCCCUUACAUUAUCUGUGUCCGAGUUCAUCUACAAAUGAUAAUGUCACAUGCAAUAAUUAAUUUCCGCGAGCUUUAACUUCUUUGCACUGGUAGAGUAUAAUUAUUUUACGUAUUAUAACUGCUUACAAUGAUGAGUAACUGUCUAUAGUGAUUCUAACUUAGUAACAUGAAAAUGCAAUGCUUUGACUGAUUAGAAACCAUAGUUAAAUAUUUUACACUGAAAUUUAUAUAAUUAAAUUCUGUUCUUAUUUAGAUUAAACCUCUUUCUUUUACUUUUCCAGGAAAUGAAAUCUUGGGGUAAAUUGUGACGCCCCAAGUAAAUCUCUCAUUAACAAAAAUAUGAGAGAGAUAAUGGGUUAAAGUCGUGUAAGCUUGAGCCCAAAGCGUACAAUAUCAUUAGUGGGCUGAGCUGUUAUAUAAACUAAG